rnacentral:rRNA from 1 species
UUUUAUUUAAGUAAUUUAUAAUGAAAUUAUAAUAUUAAUUAUAGUGUAUUAGUAUUGUAAAAGAAAAUUUAAAUAAUUUGAAAAAUUUUUAUUUAGAAAGUAAAUAUAAUUAAUUGUACCUUGUGUAUCAGGGUUUAUUAAUUAAUUAAUAAAUUUUUAUUUUUCUCGAAUUUAUAAGAGUUAAUGAAUUAUGUAAGUUAAUGUUAUAAAAUUAUUUUUUAUAAUUCAUUAGAAAUGAAAAGUUAUUCGUUUAUAAAUAUAUCUAGUUUUUUAAGAAAUAAAUUUAAUUUAGAAUUUUUAAAUAUAUUUGAUUAAUUUUUUAAUUAAAUAUUUUAAAAAUUUAGUAUUUUAUGGGAUAAGCUGUAGAAUAAAUUUUUAUAAAAUAUUAAUAGUAUUUUAUUAUUAUAUGUUUAGAAUUAGCAAUUAAUAAAAAUUUUGUUAUAAAUUAUUUAAUGAAAUGUAUUAUUUAUUUAUUUUUAAAUUUUUAUUAAAAUAAUUAUUUUAAUUUAAAAAAUAAUAUAAUAAUGAUAAAAUUAGUAUAUAUCUAUAUUUUGUUAUAUUAAAAUUUUAUGAAAAGUUUAUGUAAAGAAUUCGGCAAAAUUAAUAUUCGCCUGUUUAACAAAAACAUGUCUUUUUGUAAUAUAUAAAAAGUCUAACCUGCCCAUUGAAUUAUUUAACGGCCGCAGUAUAUUAACUGUGCAAAGGUAGCAUAAUCAUUAGUCUUUUAAUUGAAGGAUGGAAUGAAUGGUUGGACGAAAUAUUAACUGUUUCAUAUAAAUUUAAAAUAGAAUUUAAUUUUUUAGUUAAAAAGCUUAAAUUUUUUUAAAAGACGAGAAGACCCUAUAAAUCUUUAUAUUGAUUAUUAUAUUAGUUUUUAAAGUAAGUUUUAUUAUUAUAUUAAUUUAUAUUUUAUUGGGGUGAUAGUAAAAUUUGAAAAACUUUUAUUUUAUUUUUUACAUUAAUUUAUGAAUUAUUGAUCCAGUAUUAUUGAUUAAAAAAUUAAGUUACUUUAGGGAUAACAGCAUAAUAUUUUUGGAGAGUUCUUAUUGAUAAAAAUGAUUGUGACCUCGAUGUUGGAUUAAGAUAUAAUUUUAGGUGCAGUAGCUUAAAUUUUAAGUCUGUUCGACUUUUAAAUUCUUACAUGAUCUGAGUUCAAACCGGUGUAAGCCAGGUUGGUUUCUAUCUUUAAUAAAUUAAAAUAUUUUAGUACGAAAGGAUUAAAUAUUUAAUUGUUUAUAAUUUUAUUAAAAUUCAUUUUAAUAAUAUUA